rnacentral:rRNA from 1 species
UACGUAGGGGGCUAGCGUUGUCCGGAUUUAUUGGGCGUAAAGAGCGUGUAGGCGGCCAUGUAGGUCCGGUGUGAAAACUCGAGGCUUAACCUCGAGAUGUCAUCGGAAACCAUUUGGCUAGAGUCCGGAAGAGGAGAGUGGAAUUCCUGGUGUAGCAGUGAAAUGCGCAGAUAUCAGGAAGAACACCAAUGGCGAAAGCAGCUCUCUGGGACGGUACUGACGCUGAGACGCGAAAGCGUGGGGAGCGAACAGG